UCCCCUCUCCAAUAUUUUUCUUCAGCCAAACAGGUCUUGAAGUUUACGCAAUCCUCGAUGUCGACGGAAGUGGAGAAAGUACAUAUGAGUAAGAUGAAAAGACAUAUCUUUGUUGAUGAACCAUACGGAUGCGAAGCGAUCGAGUUCUAUAAAGCUGUAUUCAGGGCAGUUGAAGUGAAUCGUGUGUACGAGGAAAUCGAAACUGAUGAUGAGAUCAAAGGGUCCGUUAGAGUGGUGUCUUGCGAGUUGCAACUCUGUUCCAGUAUUAUUAUCGUGUCGGAACUUACUCCCAAAUCUUGCAUGCUGAAUCAGAGAAAUGUUGCACAUCUACCUCCAAGAGGAACAAUGUUAGUGUACGCGGAAGACGUGGCACCUGUUGUUGAUUUAGCUGCACGAUUGGGGUCCUCGAUUUUGAAAGAUGAGAAGUAUGAAAAACAUAUUAAGGAUCCGUAUGGUUCUGUAUGGAUUAUUCGCACUGUCCCUGCCGCCAGGUAGCCACGGUAGGUACUAGCAACCCUCGGGGAGAAAAUUUUAUCUAAUAUGGGAAGUUGGGAUUUGGGACUUGGAACAAACAAGUGCAUCAUAUGCAGUUUGCAUAAUUGUAGAUUACAUGUGAUUCAGUUGAUUUUGAUCGGUUUGCUUAGUUGUAGAUUACCCUCUGAUUCAGCUCAUUUUUAGCUUUGCCUAUAUGGCUAUAUUUAUAAAUUUGAAGCUCAAGCAAUUUAACUGAAGUUUUUUAUUUUCCGAUUUUUGGGUUAUGAUGAGUUAUUAGGGUUUAUGAUAUUCAAGUAGGGAUUUGAAUUUAUUUUAAGUGUAAUUUGUAGUUAAGGUAAGAAUAAAUUGAAUGUUGUUGAUUUUUCGGGGAAAAUGUUUAUGAUUUUAGGAUGUAUUUUGUGGAUGAUUGUUUGACAGGGGAUUGCGAAAGUUGCUAAUAAGUAAAGCUCUGAAGUUUGGAAAUUAUUUGACUAAAAUUUACCCGACUUUAUUAGUAUGAUCAAUUAACAGACUUUCUUAAGAGCGGUGACACGGCGUUGCACUUUUACUAAAUAGGAUAGUUUUUGGAUUAAUGGCAAGGCUGGUUUUGGUUGUAUAAGUUACUCUCAUGCUUGGAACUCGGAGAUUUGUGUGAUAAAGAAGAAAGGUUAAUGAAAAGGAGGAGCAGGUAUUAUGGAUUUUAAUACUUUCAGUUAUUAUAAAAUGGAAUUGUUAUAAGAUAUUUUACGUCGUAUUAAGUCAUAAUUUCAUCCUGCUAGAAGAAAGGAAUGGAACACUAUCCAACACUAUGUAAAUCUUGAGUUUUCUUUGUUCUUUUUUUAGUUGGACUUUUGUUGCUAACAAAAGAACUGAAGAUGUUACUCUGUAUUGUUUGGUGGCCAUCAUAUCUUUUGUAGUGUUACAUUCUUGUUCUAUGUAUAAAAAGUUUGAAAUGAUUUUGCUUAAUCCUAUUACUCAAACCUUUAAGUCGCUCACAUGUGUCGGAUUUAUGCGUGGAUUGGUUGCAAUUCAGCCAAGUUUGGAUACUUGUAUGUUGCUGCUCCUACACGUCCUGUAAAUGCGGAGAAGAGGCUGGUGCAGAAGUUGAUUGAACUAGGUUAUGCAAAGCCUAAAUCUAAGGAAUUGUCUUUGUAGCAAAUUUCAUGGAGUCCAAGAUUUUGCAUGUUAGCAACGUUUGCCUGAAAAAUUUGACAGAUGAUAAAUGCUCAAUUUUAAUGUGCCAAGCUGUGGAUUGCAGCAGCCAUUGUAUUCGCUUCCUAUCUUUUGUGAGGGGAUCUUUACGUUGUAUGAUCAUUUCAAAUGGUGGAUUAGUUUGUCAUAUAUUAUAGAUCAUCGGAUUUGAAAUAUAGAUUAUGGUAAUCAAU